rnacentral:rRNA from 1 species
GUGGGGAAUCUUGCGCAAUGGGCGAAAGCCUGACGCAGCCAUGCCGCGUGGAUGAUGAAGGUCUUAGGAUUGUAAAAUCCUUUCACCGGUGAAGAUAAUGGCUGUAGCCGGAGAAGAAGCCCCGGCUAACUUCGUGCCAGCAGCCGCGGUAAUACGAAGGGGGCUAGCGUUGCUCGGAUUUACUGGGCGUAAAGGGCGCGUAGGCGGACAUUUAAGUCAGGGGUGAAAUCCCGGGGCUCAACCUCGGAACUGCCUUUGAUACUGGGUGUCUUGAGUAUGAGAGAGGUGUGUGGAACUCCGAGUGUAGAGGUGAAAUUCGUAGAUAUUCGGAAGAACACCAGUGGCGAAGGCGACACACUGGCUCAUUACUGACGCUGAGGCGCGAAAGCGUGGGGAGCAAACAGGAUUAGAAACCCGGGUAGUCC